rnacentral:snoRNA from 1 species
CCCCUCUCAGGGUGGCACCUGGAGAGUUUCCAGUAUUUUACCAGACUCGGCUAUGGGAGGGAGAGUCAAGCAGAGGCCUACCCAUUCCAUUCCUAGCUUAGCCAGUGGUUAGAGAGUGGAAGGCAACCUGCUACAAGU